GACGAACGCUGGCGGCGUGCUUAACACAUGCAAGUCGAACGAAGUGGCGAACGGGUGAGUAACGCGUAAUCAACCUGCCCUUCAGAGGGGGACAACAGUUGGAAACGACUGCUAAUACCGCAUAGUGAAGGAGGGGAUUGCGUCUGAUUAGCUAGUUGGAGGGGUAACGGCCCACCAAGGCGAUGAUCAGUAGGCGGUCUGGUAGGAUGAACGGCCACAUUGGGACUGGGACACGGCCCAGACUCCGACGGGAGGCAGCAGUGGGGAAUCUUCCGCAAUGGACGGAAGUCUGACGGAGCAACGCCGCGUGAGUGAUGACGGCCUUCGGGUUGUAAAGCUCUGUUAAUCGGGACGCGGUACCGGAAUAGAAAGCCACGGCUAACUACGUGCCAGCAGCCGCGGUAAUUC
rnacentral:rRNA from 1 species